rnacentral:rRNA from 1 species
CCUACGGGAGACAGCAGUGGGGAAUAUUGGGCAAUGGACGCAAGUCUGACCCAGCAACGCCGCGUGAAGGAAGAAGGCUUUCGGGUUGUAAACUUCUUUUAAGGGGGAAGAGCAGAAGACGGUACCCCUUGAAUAAGCCACGGCUAACUACGUGCCAGCAGCCGCGGUAAUACGUAGGUGGCAAGCGUUGUCCGGAUUUACUGGGUGUAACGGGCGUGCAGCCGGAGAGACAAGUCAGAUGUGAAAUCGUGGAGCUCAACUCCAUCCAGCCGUUGAAACUGAUGAUCUUGAGUGGGCGAGAAGUAUGCGGAAUGCGUGGUGUAGCGGUGAAAUGCAUAGAUAUCACGCAGAACUCCGAUUGCGAAGGCAGCAUACCGGCGCCCGACUGACGCUGAAGCACGAAAGCGUGGGUAUCGAACAGGAUUAGAUACCCCAGUAGUC